GAAUGCUGACAUAAGUAACGAUAAAGCGGGUGAAAAGCCCGCUCGCCGGAAGACCAAGGGUUCCUGUCCAACGUUAAUCGGGGCAGGGUGAGUCGACCCCUAAGGCGAGGCCGAAAGGCGUAGUCGAUGGGAAACGGGUUAAUAUUCCCGUACUUGGUGUUACUGCGAAGGGGGGACGGAGAAGGCUAUGUUGGCCGGGCGACGGUUGUCCCGGUUUAAGCGUGUAGGUGUGUGUUCCAGGUAAAUCCGGUUCACUUUAACACUGAGGCGUGACGACGAGGCACUACGGUGCUGAAGCAACAAAUGCCCUGCUUCCAGGAAAAGCCUCUAAGCAUCAGGUAACAUCAAAUCGUACCCCAAACCGACACAGGUGGUCAGGUAGAGAAUACCAAGGCGCUUGAGAGAACUCGGGUGAAGGAACUAGGCAAAAUGGUGCCGUAACUUCGGGAGAAGGCACGCUGAUAUGUAGGUGAAGUGAUUUACUCAUGGAGCUGA
rnacentral:rRNA from 1 species